GGUGUAGGCGGAGUGGCAGGUGCUUUGUGAAAGCCCUCGGCUCAACCGAGGAAAUGCAGGGCAAACCGCCAUUCUUGAGGCAGGUAGGGGCAAGCGGAACUAUGGGUGGAGCGGUGAAAUGCGUAGAUAUCCAUGGGAACGCCGGUGGCGAAAGCGGCUUGCUGGGCCUGUCCUGACGCUGAGACGCGAAAGCGUGGGUAGCAAACAGGAUUAGAUACCCUGGUAGUCC
rnacentral:rRNA from 1 species